rnacentral:lncRNA from 1 species
AAUUUUCCUAUCAGCCAACUGUGCCUUUAAGGGAGACAGGAUUGAUGUGAGAUCUUACAAGCUUUCAUUAUCAUCCAGUGCUUGUGUCACAUAGCUGCCCUUCCCUACUUCUCAGCCCUCCAAAAGGCACAAUGUCUUCCAUCAGGCAAAAGUGACACCACAACAUUCAUUAUAGGAAGUAAGAGACAUUCAUCACUGGAAUAUUUUAGCAAAUGAAUCACAACAGACUGAUAGCAUAACUCAUGUUCUAAGGCCAAGAACAAGAAUUGCAUAGUUUAUUUUAAGACAGCAGAAGAGUAAAAAACAGAUUGAAAAACAUAUGAUACCCUCUCCAGCUCAGAGCUCUACAAACAGCAGUGGCGUUUGCAAAGUUCUAUGUAUCUUCUCAAAUGUGGUUUCAGUUUUAAUGUGUGUUGACAUCUUUGUGUGCAGAACUAACUGGAGGAACAACAGUUUGUGCUUUUUUUCCCUUCUUGCUACAAGGGUGAGAACAGGGAAAGAACCAAACGAUCUGUGUUUACUUUGAGCAGCCAUACACCAUGCAUGGACACUAAGCUUCUUACUGCUUCUGAUUAGUGACCUCAAUUGAGACUCAUUGCUCAUUGCAAAGACUGCUAAUGGAUUGUUUGAGCCUGAAUGUGUUAGGAUGGAAUAUUUCUUCUUCUCAGAUUCAAGGCCAGUUUUUUUCCACCCCAAGUCCAUUCUACCCAGAGUUCUAGAUGAUGAUGGUCAGGUUAUUCAAGAUAAUGAUUAUGUUUUCUAGAUGAUUUAAAAUGAAGUUCAACUUUUAUUAUCUUCCCUAUAAUGAUAUUUGUAGUCUUUAUGUUCAAUAACAAGCUGUCAGGCUGCCUCAGUUUAAGCCAAGGCAUUUUCUUAUCAAAACCCAUCACAGAAAAAGAUACAAUCAUGAAACCACAGAUUCUUGUAGCUCUUCACAGUAAACUUUAACUAUGAAUAACCUCUUGGAUUAUUAGCCGAUUGUGAUUACAUUUAUAUUAUUUGCUCACAUGCUUUGUCACUUUAGAGCCCUGAAAACCCUGUUCAUUGUUGCUAGGAGAUGGGUGGCUAUGGCAACAGUGUGGGUCAGAGCCAGAUGGAAUGCCUAAAGCAUAAUCAGGUUUAGGCUUUUUUUUGAUCUCCAAAUGACUCCAUGGCAGUCCUGAGCACGGAAGCCCCAAAUCACUGCCUCUUCAGCUUGUUUCAAAAGAGCUAAUUUUGGGAGAAGAGCUCUGACUCAGAAUGGCUUCCAAAUGAUACAUAGCCUGGGUGUACCUCAGAAGGGAGAUUCAAGCAAAAUCCUCAUCUGUCUCAGAGGCCUUACCAGUUCUGGACAAGUGUGUGAUGUCUAACAGAUCCACCAGUAGUAAUUCUUGAAAAGACAUAUUCCUUGAAGGUAGAAUCACUGUCAGCAGAGUCCUUGCCAGGAACGACUUUCCAGUGAAGGAGACAAUGGAAAUUUGGACAACAUUUUGAAAACCACUAACAGUAACAACGUGUUAAUAAUAAUUAAAACAUUAAGAUGAAGAAGACAAAGAAGGAGAAAUAUGAAGGGAUUGCUAAUUGCUGGUGUUCUGCAUUUGUUUUCUUAUUUAAUCCUCAUCAUAACCUUAUGAGGUGUUUCUCUCGGGAAAAGAGAGAAAUUGUUGGCAGAAAAUAAUGAAAACACAAGGACUUGUGCUAUGUGCUGAAAGAAUUGCUCCUGAAACGAUAAAGGUGAAAUGCAGAUAAAGACAAUCAAGAUACAGCCUUUUUUAAAAAAUUAUUUCCAUUCCAGUCCUAUCCAUCCUGGCUAUAAAGUGACUCUCAACCCAAAGAUCUGGAAACUCCAGUUAAAUAAUGCACAUUUAAUUAUUUUGGUGCCCUUUUGGUAUCUAAUGCAUGCUAUAGAUGAUUGCACUGUCAUUUUAACACUGAGAGGUACAAAAUAAUAGGUCCAUUUUCAAAAGACGUGGCCUUAACAGAACUAGUAUUUUUACUUUUAGUAUCCAAAGUACUAGAAUAAAGGAAACUGCUAAAUGUAACGUAAAGUGGAAAUGCACAUAC